rnacentral:misc_RNA from 1 species
UCAAACUUGGUCAUUUAGAGGAAGUAAAAGUCGUAACAAGGUUUCCGUAGGUGAACCUGCGGAAGGAUCAUUACAGAGUUCAUGCCCUCCGGGGUAGACCUCCUACCCGUGUGUACUUAUCACCAAUUGUUGCUUUGGCGGGCCGUACGCCUGGCUUACCCGGGAGGUUUUCCCGGUGCGCCCGCCAGAGGACCUCUGAAACUUCUAGGUAUUAGUGUUGUCUGAGCAAAUACAGAAUAGUUAAAACUUUCAACAACGGAUCUCUUGGUUCUGGCAUCGAUGAAGAACGCAGC